UCAACAGCACCAGCUCCGCCCCCUCCCCCGCGCCCUGUGUAACCGCCACGGCGGCGCGGCGGGCGCUCGCUCUCAGGUCCGGGCUCCUGGAGGAGAGCGUGCCUCCUGUCCUCACCUAGCUCACAAUUCCCGGCGCGCUGGGUGCGUGGGCAACGGAGCCAGGGUGCGCGGUGGCGUGCGGCGACAGCGCUUCUCCGCUCAGCCCUCCCACAGCCGCUACAGGACGAGGCGGAGACGCCAGUGAACCAACACUGGGAGAUCGGCCUGAGAAACGCUCGCCUUGUCUCCACUACGCUUGUGUAGCCAACGCCCAAAAAGCCCCACCUUGCUCUAGUAAACAUCUAACUUUCUUCUAUUUAAUGGCACCUGUGUUGUAGCAAUAUCUGUGGGUUUUGGCAAGUGUUAAAAAAUCAUUUCAUCCUAAAUGAGUAAAAUGUGGAAAGUU